GUAUGUAGUGUUUAUUAAAAUUAUUUCGUGUUAAAUCGUGUUUAUAGAGUUUCUUGUAACAUAUUUGCUUUUUUAAGUACGUUUGUAGCCACUUUAAUAUAAAGUUUUUUUCUUUUGAAUUUCAUGUAUGUAUUGCUUAUAGCUUGUAUUAGUGAAUAUUUGAUUUAGUCUAUAAGAUUAAUAAAUUUUGAACUUAAAAAUAUAUCCUUAAAUGAUGAACAAAUUCAGCAGAAGCGAUAAGCGAUAAACGAUAAAGCGGCAAUGAAUGAGAAACUCGAAUGAUAGUCUGAAAUGAAGUCCGGCUUGCUUUUAUAGAAAAAUUUCAACUUCGCUCAAACCGUAAAAUAAAAACAGAAAUCACCCUAAAAAGAGCAAUAGAAACAGCAACUCAGAGAUAACUCACUGAGAGAGAGAUGGAAAUUAUAUCCAUGGAGAGCAAAAACUAUUUUCUUUAUAUGGUCUUUAUAUGGCUGUUGCAGGCUGUAGAAAACAAGUAAAAACACCCCAAACAGCAGAAGUAAGCAGAAAAGCAAUGCAAUGGAAAUUAUAUUUCUAAUGCUAAGAGGCAAGCGCACAAAACUCCUUGUUGUGUUGUUGGAUUUGCUUUGCUUUGCUUUGCUCUUGUGCUCAAUGCAAAACUGCAAAAGGAUUUUGUAGAAAAAGUUGUAAUUAAGCACACAAACAUAUGUGAUGGAGUGAGUUAGAGCAAUUUGUUGUUUUUGUUUUGAUUUCUUUCUUAUGAGUACAUUUAUGUUCAGUUUGCAUUUUUGUUGGCAUCCUGUAGAGAACAUAAGAAACAAGCAGAAACGAUAAACGAUGGACGAUGGACGACGGCAGCGAACAAGUGCACAAAAAGCUUAAGAAUGUGUGUUGUAUGCUAGAUAAAAAAAGUAAAAUCUCACAAGCAACAACAAUCAAUGGGAGCUACUACAGGAUUUACUUGGCAAAGUAAAGAAGCAUAUAGGCAUAUAAGAACAAAUCAGUGCGCUCAAAUCAGUUACUGAAGGAGAAAUUGAUUUUUGGCGCUAUUUGCUUUGUGCCUCAAUUCGUGUACAUAAUUUUUUUUACUUAUUGGUUUGUG